GCGCCUGUAGCUCAGUUUGGAUAGAGCAACGGACUUCUAAUCCGUAGGUCGCUGGUUCAAAUCCAGCCAGGCGUACCA
rnacentral:tRNA from 1 species